rnacentral:rRNA from 1 species
UACGUAGGUGGCAAGCGUUGUCCGGAAUUAUUGGGCGUAAAGCGCACGUAGGCGGAUAUUUAAGUCAGGGGUGAAAUCCCAGAGCUCAACUCUGGAACUGCCUUUGAUACUGGGUAUCUCGAGUAUGGAAGAGGUGAGUGGAAUUCCGAGUGUAGAGGUGAAAUUCGUAGAUAUUCGGAGGAACACCAGUGGCGAAGGCGGCUCACUGGUCCAUUACUGACGCUGAGGUGCGAAAGCGUGGGGAGCAAACAGG